GGUCCAAUGGUCUAGUGGUUAUGAUUUCUGUCUUACAAAGGUUUCUAGCCUUUCGGGACACAGAAGGUCUCCAGUUCGAUCCUGGAUUGGACCA